CCCCUAGAUGUUCUGGGCCGCACGCGCGCUACACUGACGAAUGCAACGAGCUUAUAACCUUGGCCGAAAGGUCUGGGUAAUCUCCAAAUUUCGUCGUGAUGGGGAUAGAUUAUUGCAAUUAUUAAUCUUCAACGAGGAAUGCCUAGUAAGCGCAAGUCAUCAGCUUGCGUUGAUUACGUCCCUGCCCUUUGUACACACCGCCCGUCGCUCCUACCGAUUUCGAGUGGUCCGGUGAAUCUUUCGGACUGCGCGCGGCCUCGUGCCGUGUCGCGGAAAGUCAGGUAAACCUUAUCACUUAGAGGAAGGAGAAGUCGUAACA
rnacentral:rRNA from 1 species